CAUGGCGUCAUAGAGGGUGAGAAUCCCGUAUGUGACUGUGGCUCAAGCCCGUGUGAAGCCUCUUCGACGAGUCGAGUUGUUUGGGAAUGCAGCUCAAAAUGGGUGGUAAAUUUCAUCUAAAGCUAAAUACUGGCUGGAGACCGAUAGCGCACAAGUAGAGUGAUCGAAAGAUGAAAAGCACUUUGGAAAGAGAGUCAAACAGUACGUGAAAUUGUUGAAAGGGAAGCGCUUGCAACCAGACCUGUCCGUAGGCGAUCAGCCGCUGUUCUCAGUGGUGCACUCGCUCUGCGAUCAGGCCAGCAUCGGUUCGGGCGGCCGGAUAAAGGCCUUGGGAAUGUAGCUCCCCUCGGGGAGUCUUAUAGCCCUCGGCGCAAUGCGGCCAGCCGGGACCGAGGACCGCGCUUCGGCUAGGAUGCUGGCGUAAUGGUUGUAAGCGACCCGUCUUGAAACACGGACCAAGGAGUCUAACAUCUACGCGAGUGUUUGGGUGUCAAACCCAUGCGCGGAAUGAAAGUGAAUGGAGGUGAGACCCCUUAAGGGCGCAUCAUCGACCGAUCCAGAUGUCUUCGGAUGGAUUUGAGUAUGAGCGUAGCUGUUGGGACCCGAAAGACAGUGAACUAUGCCUGAAUAGGGUGAAGCCAGAGGAAACUCUGGUGGAGGCUCGCAGCGGUUCUGACGUGCAAAUCGAUCGUCAAAUUUGGGUAUAGGGGCGAAAGACUAAUCGAACUGUCUAGUAGCUGGUUCCUGCCGAAGUUUCCCUCAGGAUAGCAGUAACGUUUUCAGUUUUAUGAGGUAAAGCGAAUGAUUAGAGGCCUUG
rnacentral:rRNA from 1 species